UACGUAGGGUGCAAGCGUUAAUCGGAAUUACUGGGCGUAAAGGGCUCGUAGGCGGCCAACUAAGUCAGACGUGAAAUCCCUCGGCUUAACCGGGGACUGCGUCUGAUACUGGAUGGCUUGAAUCCGGGAGAGGGAUGCGGAAUUCCAGGUGUAGCGGUGAAAUGCGUAGAUAUCUGGAGGAACACCGGUGGCGAAGGCGGCAUCCUGGACCGGCAUUGACGCUGAGGAGCGAAAAGCCAGGGGAGCAAACGGG
rnacentral:rRNA from 1 species